AAAUUGAAGAGUUUGAUCAUGGCUCAGAUUGAACGCUGGCGGCAGGCCUAACACAUGCAAGUCGAACGGUAACAGGAAGCAGCUUGCUGCUUUGCUGACGAGUGGCGGACGGGUGAGUAAUGUCUGGGAAACUGCCUGAUGGAGGGGGAUAACUACUGGAAACGGUAGCUAAUACCGCAUAAUGUCGCAAGACCAAAGAGGGGGACCUUCGGGCCUCUUGCCAUCGGAUGUGCCCAGAUGGGAUUAGCUAGUAGGUGGGGU
rnacentral:rRNA from 1 species